UUCUCAUUCCGAGUAGUAGCCCCGUAAAAUUGCUUCGCAAUCACGGGGAGGAAAGUCCGAACACAUACCAAUUUAAAUUGGAAAGGUAGUGGGUAACGCCCAUCGGGAGCAAUCCUAGAGAUGCGAACAGUGACGGUUUUUUCUGAAAAGAAAAAACCGCCCCGCGGAGCGAAAGCGAAGUGGGGCGAAUCCAAAUAGUAAUAUUUGGGGUGCAACGGCUAAAUUCUUACCUGUGUGCAAGGCCGUACUUCUUGAGCAAUCAAGAUUUGUGCCGCUUGAGCCUAGUAGUAAUAUUGGGCCCAGAUAAAUUUCUAUUUAGAAACAGAAUUCGGCUUAUGAGAAUGAGAAUCUG
rnacentral:RNase_P_RNA from 6 species